GGAAGUAAAAGUCGUAACAAAGUUUCCGUAGGUGAACCUGCGGAAGGAUCAUUAUUGUAUAACCGAGGUGCGAGGGCUGUCGCUGACCCGAAAGGUCGUGCACGCCCGAGUGCCCUCACACACAUCCAUCUCACCCCUAUGUGCACCACCGCGUGGGUCCCCCUUUGGCUUGUUCGGAGGGGGGCUUACGUUUUCACACAAACUUUGUAUGCAGUGUAGAAUGUAUUUUUUGUUUUUGCGAUCACGCAAUCAAUACAACUUUCAACAACGGAUCUCCUGGCUCUC
rnacentral:misc_RNA from 1 species